UAGGGAAUCUUCGGCAAUGGACGAAAGUCUGACCGAGCAACGCCGCGUGAGUGAAGAAGGUUUUCGGAUCGUAAAACUCUGUUGUUAGAGAAGAACAAGGACGUUAGUAACUGAACGUCCCCUGACGGUAUCUAACCAGAAAGCCACGGCUAACUACGUGCCAGCAGCCGCGGUAAUACGUAGGUGGAAAGCGUUGUCCGGAUUUAUUGGGCGUAAAGCGAGCGCAGGCGGUUUCUUAAGUCUGAUGUGAAAGCCCCCGGCUCAACCGGAGAGGGUCAUUGGAAACUGGGAGACUUGAGUGCAGAAGAGGGGAGUGGAAUUCCAUGUGUAGCGGUGAAAUGCGUAGAUAUAUGGAAGAACACCAGUGGCGAAGGCGGCUCUCUGGUCUGUAACUGACGCUGAGGCUAGAAAGCGUGGGGAGCAAACAGG
rnacentral:rRNA from 1 species